rnacentral:misc_RNA from 1 species
AUAUUGACAUUGCAGUUAUUGAGGUUAUUAGUUUUCUCUUCCUAGUCUUCUUCUUUAGUAAUUAUAUUUUAAAGUAAAUGUUUUUGUAUUUGAAUAAUGUGUCAUGCGAUAUCAUUGUGCUUCUUGGAAUGUUAAGUCAUAUGAUAUGUUUCAUUCAUAUUAAUUUGUAAUUGGAUGGCUGCUUUCCUCCUGUGUAUCUUUUUAAUGUCAAUACAUUUUUUUUUUCUUGUAACAGGCUGGUCUUGG